CCCAUAUAGGGGGCAUUGAAGCAAUGAGACAAGUAUUGAGUGAGUCCUCCAUUUAUCAAGGACCACCUAUUGAGUUUGUGUUGGAGUUGCUGUCUCUUAUACUUCAUAACAACUAUUUUCGGUUUGAAAACCUAUGGUAUUUGCAGGUGGCCGGUACAUCAAUGGGGUCGGCGAUGGCUCCUAUGUACGCCAAUGCGUACAUGCAUGUAUAUGAAUCUACACACAUUUUAAUCCCUUAUCAGGAUCGAAUCAUC